UUAUAUCACUAUAACGGUAUACCAGCAAUGCACCAGAUCCCAUUAGAACUACCCAAUUAAGUGUGCUUGGGCGAGAGUAGUACUAGGAUGGGUGACCUCCUGGGAAGUCAUCGUGUUGCAUCCC
rnacentral:rRNA from 1 species